CAGUAGCCGCGGUAAUACGUAGGUGGCAAGCGUUGUCCGGAAUUAUUGGGCGUAAAGGGCUCGCAGGCGGUUUCCUAAGUCUGAUGUGAAAGCCCCCGGCUCAACCGGGGAGGGUCAUUGGAAACUGGGAAACUUGAGUGCAGAAGAGGAGAGUGGUAUUCCACGUGUAGCGGUGAAAUGCGUAGAGAUGUGGAGGAACACCAGUGGCGGAGGCGACUCUCUGGUCUGUAACUGACGCUGAGGAGCGAAAGCGUGGGGAGCGAACAGGAUUAGAUACCCGCGUAGUCCCUGUCUCUUAUAC
rnacentral:rRNA from 1 species